UAUUUCAUCCUGUAAAAUCACAGUAUAUGUAUACAUUGGAUGGACGGACAAACAUAUAUAUAUAUAUAAAAUGUAUAGUUGAUGGACAUGGGAGAAGCGGUAUACACUGUAAAGUUUUUAAGAAGAAUAAAGAAGAAGAAAAAGAAACAAAAUGAAAAGAUGUUGAACUGAAUAAUUUUUCAAAAGAACUAUUUCAUUUUGGAGAGCGGCCCCUGGGUCAAGGCAAUUUCUCCUUUUCAUGUGUAGCUGUUUACUAUUUUACUCUGAUUUUAUUUCUUAAAACAAUCUUGCCUCUUCCUACACCAUCUGCAACAAUUUCUGAUUCCGAUAAACAAUAAACGGAUUUGACUAGUUUGAUUUUUUUUUUUUUUUCUAGUUCUUGAUGAUAUCUUGUUCCACAGAAAAUGGAUUUUUAGAAAUAAAAAAAAAAGUGGAAAUAAAAAAAAUUAACUAAAUUACAAAUCGUGCUCCAGCAUGACCACAGCUACCCGGCUGAAACGAAUAAAAGAAUCCACAGACACAUGUAGACCUCUUUGUUAAAACUCUACUAGAAAUUCAUCCUUUUCACAAACCAACCCUCUUUUUUUUCUUUAAAAAAAAAAAAGAUUUCCUUUUUGAAUCACCUUAGUUUCAGCAGUUCUUCACCUUUUGUUGUUCUACUCGCUUAGAGUUUGAUUAACAAAGAUUAUUUAUUGAUUUCUUUAAAUAUUUCAGACAAUACUUUUUCCUUCCUUUCAUUUUGUGUCCACCUUUUUUCCUUUUUUUAGAGAAGGUCUUACAUAGAUCAAUUGAUAAGGCUGACAUUUAAAUGAAAGGGGAGAGAGAGAGAAAACGAAGGAGGUGUAUGUGUGUGAGUAUGUGUGUGGGUAUAUAUACGAUAUAUAAAUAAAAAAUAUAUAUAUACAUAUACAUGCAAGCACACACACACGCACAUGCGUGGAUACUUGUGUGUAUGAAUGUGCGCAAGUGUGCCUGUGCAGCAUUACCAUGUCAUAUCUAUCAAUUUGUAUGGAUUUUCAGUAAAUGUAUGACCCAUUA